rnacentral:rRNA from 1 species
AACGUAGGUACCGAGCGUUAUCCGGAUUUACUGGGCGUAAAGCGCGUUCAGGCGGUUUGGCAAGUCGGGCAUGAAAUCUCUCGGCUCAACCGGGAGAGGUUGUCCGAUACUGCUGGACUUGAGGGCAGUAGAGGGUGGUGGAAUUCCGGGUGUAGUGGUGAAAUGCGUAGAUAUCCGGAGGAACACCAAUGGCGAAGGCGACUACCUGGCCUGUUCUUGACGCUGAGGCGCGAAAGCUAGGGGAGCAAACGGG